rnacentral:rRNA from 1 species
GACGAACGCUGGCGGCGUGCCUAAUACAUGCAAGUUGAGCGAUGAAGAUUGGUGCUUGCACCAAUUUGAAGAGCAGCGAACGGGUGAGUAACGCGUGGGGAAUCUGCCUUUGAGCGGGGGACAACAUUUGGAAACGAAUGCUAAUACCGCAUAACAACUUUAAACAUAAGUUUUAAGUUUGAAAGAUGCAAUUGCAUCACUCAAAGAUGAUCCCGCGUUGUAUUAGCUAGUUGGUGAGGUAAAGGCUCACCAAGGCGAUGAUACAUAGCCGACCUGAGAGGGUGAUCGGCCACAUUGGGACUGAGACACGGCCCAAACUCCUACGGGAGGCAGCAGUAGGGAAUCUUCGGCAAGGGACGAAAGUCUGGCCGAGCAACGCCGCGUGAGUGAAGAAGGUUGUCGGAUCGUAAAACUCUGUUGGUAGAGAAGAACGUUGGUGAGAGUGGAAAGCUCAUCAAGUGACGGUAACUACCCAGAAAGGGACGGCUAACUACGUG